rnacentral:tRNA from 1 species
AAAAAUUUAGUUAAUUUAUAACAUUAGUUUGUCAAGCUAAAAUAAUCACUUUGAUAAUUUUUA